GACGAACGCUGGCGGCGUGCUUAACACAUGCAAGUCGAGCGGUAAGGCCCUUUCGGGGGUACACGAGCGGCGAACGGGUGAGUAACACGUGGGUGACCUGCCCUCAGCUCUGGGAUAAGCCUGGGAAACCGGGUCUAAUACUGGAUAUGACUCCAUGACGCAUGUUGUGGGGUGGAAAGCCUUGUGCGGCUGAGGAUGGGCCCGCGGCCUAUCAGCUUGUUGGUGGGGUGANGGCCUACCAAGGCGACGACGGGUAGCCGGCCUGAGAGGGCGACCGGCCACACUGGGACUGAGACACGGCCCAGACUCCUACGGGAGGCAGCAGUGGGGAAUCUUGCGCAAUGGGCGAAAGCCUGACGCAGCGACGCCGCGUGAGGGAUGGCGGCC
rnacentral:rRNA from 1 species